GAGGAGCAGAGAUCCUUUCUUAUGCUGAGACCGGAGCGAGAAGCAGCCCGUGCAGACAGAGCUGUAGGAAAGCAUUGUUAGCAGCCAGAGCUGGCUUUCACCUGGACUGAGCUCUGUCAGAACUUGCCAAAGCAAGCUGCCUGUGAUGAGGGAAAUCUGAAUAUCAAAGAAUCAAAGGGAGGAGAACAGGAAACACCUGGGGCCUCGGCCUCUCUGGAUUUUCUAAGAGGCACGUGGAGAGAUGGAAGAACAAGUCUGCUCCAGACCCAGAAAUCCGGCAGACGUGGCCAAGUGCACACACACGACCUAUUAAGAAAGAGCAGUGAAAACCUGUCUCCCUCCUCAAGAGGAAGAAAGAAAGACAUUUAAGGAUCACGGAGUACCUAGAGGCCUCCUUUGGCCUUUGUGUUCCGUCCUGAUCAUCACCAAACAACCCAAGAACAUCCAGCUUAUCAUGGUGACGCCCUGGUGGGACAGGGAGAGGCUUGGGGUAACUAACCCAGCUGCAGGAAAAAUCAGAGAAGACCUGGUUCUCUACUGAGCUGAGGGAAGCCUGGCGCAGCCAUAAGGCAGUCCUCCAGGCACAAGGCAAAAGAGGAGGAAGACAAGAUGAAGAUCUGAUGAAUGCACUGAUCCUAGCAGAUUUUUUUCUUGCUAUAAAGCAGUUAACACUUCUGUACACAUCUCGCUCAUUUUAAGAAAAAUACUGAAGUGUAAGACCAUGUAAGAUUGUUUUCAAACUGUACGGGUUCCUGUUUUAAAUAGUUACACUGCCAAAGGUGCCAUUGGAAAGCCCUGUGCGGUGAUCUCUUCCUUGGCACUCACGUUGCCUAGUACCCUGCCGGGCUGUCAGUUGGCAGAGAAAUUUAAAGCAGGCUCAUGAUGGACAGCAUGGAUUCGUUAUGUUGGGGAGCGGUAGUAAUAUCCAUCUGCUGUUGUCUUUAAUGCAGCUUGUAUGAAUUAAUUGCUGGGAUUUUUGUUUGUUAUUUUCUUUUCUUUUUUUAGUUUUAGUGCUGGGGAUCGAACUUAUGAUCUAGCGCAUGGCAGGCAAGCACUUAUGCCACUGAACUAAAUCUUCGGCCCCAGUAAUUGCUGUUUUAUUAACUGAAUUCUAUUCUGUAACUGCAAAGGGAAGUUUUGGCUGUUUUGUUGGUAGUCUGAAUUUUUCUCAGUAAAUAUAAUUUUUGUUAAUAAAAAUGUCAUCACAGGA